GCACAAGCGGUGGAUGAUGUGGUUAAUUCGAUGCAACGCGAAAACCUUACCCACCUUGACAUGUACGGAAUCCUUUAGAGAUAGAGGGGUGCUCGAAAGAGAGCCGUAACACAGGUGCUGCAUGGCUGUCGUCAGCUCGUGUCGUGAGAUGUUGGGUUAAGUCCCGCAACGAGCGCAACCCUUGUCAUUAGUUGCUACAUUUGGUUGGGCACUCUAAUGAGACUGCCGUGACAAGCCGGAGGAAGGUGGGGAUGACGUCAAGUCCUCAUGGCCCUUAUAGGUGGGGCUACACACGUCAUACAAUGGCUGGUACAAAGGGUUGCCGACCCGCGAGGGGGAGCUAAUCCCACAAAGCCAGUCGUAGUCCGGAUCGUAGUCUGCAACUCGACUACGUGAAGUCGGAAUCGCUAGUAAUCGUGGAUCAGAAUGUCACGGUGAAUACGUUCCCGGGUCUU
rnacentral:rRNA from 1 species